rnacentral:rRNA from 1 species
GUGGGGAAUAUUGGACAAUGGGCGAAAGCCUGAUCCAGCCAUGCCGCGUGAGUGAUGAAGGCCUUAGGGUUGUAAAGCUCUUUCAGUAGGGAAGAUAAUGACGGUACCCACAGAAGAAGCCCCGGCUAACUUCGUGCCAGCAGCCGCGGUAAUACGAAGGGGGCUAGCGUUGUUCGGAAUGACUGGGCGUAAAGGGCGCGUAGGCGGCGAUUUUAGUCAGGCGUGAAAGCCCUGGGCUCAACCUAGGAACUGCGUUUGAUACUGGAUCGCUUGAGUGUGGGAGAGGAUGGUGGAAUUCCCAGUGUAGAGGUGAAAUUCGUAGAUAUUGGGAAGAACACCGGUGGCGAAGGCGGCCAUCUGGACCACUACUGACGCUGAGGCGCGAAAGCGUGGGGAGCAAA